UAGGUAAGUGAACUCAGCUGAUCUUGAUUAAAAUGCCUUCUUUCUUCUUGUUCCUUCUUGUUUUCCUUUCUCAGAAAAACCAGUAACACGCUGUUAGUACCUACUUUUGCCCAAGUUAACUGUACAUCCUAACUAAAAUCCUGUUAUUCUUUCUUCUCUUUUAUCACUUUUCUUUGUAUUUAGUUUUUCUCUCUUCUUUUGGGGGAUCCUCUUUUCUCCGCCAAAGGCAAACUUCGGACUCCACCGAUGCCACUUUCAACGUCACGACUGCUCCUCUUCCAUCCGACACCACCGAGCUCUGACGAAUGUAAGAUCGCCACCUGCCGAUGGAGGCGAUGAAUAGAAGAAGAAGUUCGUCUUUCUGAAACAGUCUUUAUCGAAGCCACGGCGACGGAGGUCAGCGAGCGGAGGCAACGGACUACCACCGCCGUCCGAAUCAAUGGAAACCGAUGACGUUGCUUCGGGGGAACCAUUCUCGCCUGAGGUUUUGGGCUUUGUUCAGCUUGCUAUGGAUCAGGCAAAGCUUGCUUUGGACAGCUUUGAAGUUCCAGUUGGCUGUGUGAUUGUUGAGGAAGGGCAUCUUAUUGUGGCAGGAAGAAACAGGACUAAUGAGACACAGAAUGCAACAAGACAUGCAGAAAUGGAAGCACUUGACGUUCUUUUUGAAAAGUGGCAGAGGACUAGAUUUUCGUCUGCAGAAGUUGCAGAGAGGUUUUCAGCAUGCUCUCUUUAUGUGACAUGUGAACCAUACAUAAUGUGUGCAGCAGCAUUAUCGAUCAUUGGUAUAAAAAUGGCUGUGCAAAUGAUAAAUUUGGAGGCUAUGGUUCAAUACUGCCGAUGCAUUCAAGUAGCUCUGAGCUAUCCAUUAGUAAUGGAAACAAAAGUUUUCAAAUGUUGUGGAGGAAUAAUGGCAUCAGAAGCGGUUUCUCUUCUGAGUGAUUUUUAUGAACAAGGAAACUAUAAUGCAAAGAUAUCAUGUUUUAUCGUAGGUCUGGGGAAUUAUCUGCACAUCCCAGGUAAAUAAUGAUGGCCUGGUGGAAUGUUUAGAUGCUCCAAAGACUCACAGGCCACGGGUUACUCAGGCUUCUCAUUUGAUCUGUAUGCAUUGAUUCUUCCUGUUGAAUCCUCUCGUGCCUCUGCAUAACUAGAGCUAGUUAACGUUGUGAUCAUCGUUGACUUUUCCUAGCAUAUGAUUGUGGGAAAAUCUCAAUGAUUUGAUUGGUCACGUGGUGGCUCCAAAAGUACAUAAAAAUCUCAAUGUUUUGCUCCAUCAAGACGGAUUUGGCGGCCAGAGGACUCCUCAAGCUUAAUACCGACUUCUCGUGGACGGAGGGAGCCUCGGAAGUUUUGAUAGCUAGAAUUGUUCGGGAUUCAUGCGGUAUGUUGGUGGCUGGCUUUGCGAAAGGCGUGCGAGCUCCCUCGGUUCUGUUUGCGGAAGCCCUAGCAAUGAAUGAGUCCAUUCUCUACUUGUGCUCUGUAGUAUCCACCGACUGCUUAUCACUAGUGGAGCUUACCACGGGUAAUGUUGAAAGCUCAUGAGCCAUGCAAGAAAUCAUUGAGGAAUGCCAGUUUCUGCUGGUCCACUUGGUUAAGGUGAAGGUUGCUCAUUGUCCCUACGAGGUUAAUCAAGUUGCUGAUUGGAUUGUUAAGGCCCAUAGGAACAAGACAGUCCCUUUGAAUUGGUCUUCUUUACCCCAAUAACCCCUUUGGAAUAUUUUGUGUUUAGAAACCAACUUGUCUAGCUCUGGUAGAGUUUGAUUCAUGAAUGAAUAAAUGAAUGAAAGUGCUUUUUCUGACA